rnacentral:rRNA from 1 species
CCUACGGGAGGCUGCAGUGAGGAAUAUUGGUCAAUGGGCGCGAGCCUGAACCAGCCAAGUAGCGUGAAGGAUGACUGCCCUACGGGUUGUAAACUUCUUUUAUAAAGGAAUAAAGUUAGGCACGUGUGCCUUUUUGUAUGUACUUUAUGAACAAGGAUCGGCUAACUCCGUGCCAGCAGCCGCGGUAAUACGGAGGAUCCGAGCAUUAUCCGGAUUUAUUGGGUUUAAAGGGAGCGUAGAUGGGUUGUUAAGUCAGUUGUGAAAGUUUGCGGCUCAACCGUAAAAUUGCAAUUGAUACUGGCAGCCUUGAGUACAGUUGAGGUAGGCGGAAUUCGUGGUGUAGCGGUGAAAUGCUUAGAGAUCACGAAGAACUCCGAUUGCGAAGGCAGCUUACUAAACUGCAAUUGACAUUGAUGCUCGAAAGUGUGGGUAUCAAACAGGAUUAGAUACCCGAGUAGUC